CUUGUCAACGAGCGGAGUGAAGAGAUUGAACGCAUGUUCCUGAGUACCUGAUAUUAAUCUUUGGAGUUUGCCUACUUUGUGUGCGUUUAUGCAAAGUGACCAACAGUUCCUGUUCCAUCAACAAUACCCUGCUGGUAGAUGUCUUAACUACACCAUACUUCAGGAUCCAGUCAUUUUCACGGCUUAAUACCUUCAAAAUUUACCCCACAAUCUGAGGUUUGUUGUUUUGCAUAUUGUGUCAUUUAUAUUGCCUGUCAAAGUACAUAUUAUCUGGCCCAUGCUUGGUGUUGCUGCAAAGAAAUUUCCUGUCAGGUCUGAAAAAAGGCUGACCUAUCAGUCAAUCAAUCAAUCAAUCUAGUGCAACGGAAAUCACGUAUGCUUGCAUUCAGCAAUAGCGUGCCACUCUUCGUUUAGAAGGUUUGCUAAAUUCUGCGUCUGUGUUUAUUGCCGUUGCUGUAUAUAUGAGUGUGUCUAAGAGCAUUUGUGAGGAAGGAAAAGUUUUGUGUGUUACUUGCAGUCGCUGCCAAGUCUCAUCUGAUCUUCACAUAGAACAUGCUAAAGGUCAUGAUGUUGCAGCACACCACAAUGACUUUCCCUGAUCUCUGUAGAUGCAUAUAAAAAGAUGCCCGCUUCUUAUUCGCACCAGCUUUGAUAUCUGUUAAAAUUGUACGAUAUUGGGUUUAUAUUUUGGUUUGAUAUUUUAAAGGUAUCCUUGUUACAGUGUUAUUAACAUUACUUAACAAAAUGUACGCAGGAGUAAGGUUUAAGGUGAAUUUCCUGUAAUUAUGCAUAGUUUACUGUUAUUCCUAUACUAAUACAUAAGUGUUACAAAGACACUGCUGGUGUAAAAUAAAGUGCUACACAAUAUUAUCUCUUGACAAUAUUAUUUACACUGUAAAAUAGAGUGCUACACAAUAUUAAAUAUUAAAUCUCUUGACAAUAUUAAGGCCGUCAAACCUAAAUACUCCAAUCUCUAUUAUUUAGU